GAUAAGAACGCGAGGAGGGGAGGGGGACAGCUGGAACCGUCUGAGCGGCUGGGGAGCCCGUGUGUGAAGCCGGCACCACGUUAGCAGAACCGAGUUACUGAAGGGCCCCACCUGGGUGGAGCCGUGAGUGUGAACAGUUUCCGCUUCCCCCGGAAGCUGGCGUCGUGCAGAAACCCUCAGCCGCCCGAGCGGGGCCCUGGGCCUCCGGGUCACUCUCUGUGGCGGGGUCUGGCUCCGUGUCAAACGUCCUCAUCCAAUGCCCGCAGUUGCUCUCGCCCCCAGGCCUGGACCGGGGAGUGAGGGGUGGGCCUGACCGGCCCCUGUGCUCCCGUCAGCCCCCCACGCGAGCCCGUCCUGUGCUGGGGGCAGGGAGAUGGGCUGGUGGGAGAGGAGACCGCAUCCAGCCCUCCCUGGCCACCUGCAGGGUCCCCACCGUGGCGGCUGCUUUGCUGCUAACUCCUCCCAGGGACCCCAAGUCCCCAUCGCUCUCGGGGGGCCCCCCUCAUCUGAACUGCCUCGGAGGAGGGACGUAUCUCACGCGGAGCACCCCUCCACGCCUGUGACCCUGGACUUGCUCUCCCGCCCCCGCCCGGGCCUCAGGGCUCAGGAGGCCGUGAUGAAGCAAGCAGGUGAACUGCACCCUGGAGCCUCCGACGGGGCGGCCACAGGCAGCGAAGACCCCGGAAAAACAGUACCCUUCUGAGGUUAAUCCGCGUUGAUAGACGCAGGUGUGGUUCAUCUGGAAUCUGCUGGUGUGAACUGCGCGGCGGCGUCCCCCACCAGGCACCGCAGGUGAUUCAUUCGUUUCCCUGAAAAGGCGCGUGGAUGCUGUUUCUAGCUCCUUUUAUCCCCAGCGAUGCUGCACCUGCCCCAGGACACACGCUAGGGUGGAACCGCCGGGCAUGGAGCAGGUGUGGUCUCAACCGCAGGAGAAACAGCCGGGCCCGGCGGGUGGUGUGGGGGCCGCAUCUCAUGGAGGUCUCCGUCCACGUUGCCCCCAUUGUGACCGCAGCGGGUGCCUCUUGGUAGCAGCCACCAGCCUCUUCUGGGACUCGCCGGAGGGUUUCCACGUCGCCCGCUCCGACGGGGCUGUUCAUCUCCCCUUGAUCUGUGGGACUCCCCGUCCGUCUCAGGUAUGACCCCUUUGUUGGUGAUCUGGGUUGCAGAUAUCACCUCUGUGUCUGUGGCUUGUCUCGCUGCGUUGUUUAUGGUGCGCUUUUGUCAUGCAGACGUUUCUAAUUUUGCUCUGUCUGGACUUGGCAAUCUUUCUGUUCGUGAUUUGUGCUUUUGGUGUUUAUGUACAAACUCUUUCCCGGUCCAGAAAGCAUAAAAAAGUUUGCUUUGUGCGCUGAGGUCUCUAAUCCAUCUCACAGGAAUUUGUGGCGGGUUGGGGCAGAGGCUUCACUUAGCGUUUUCCAUCAGGUGAGCCCAUUUCCCCAGAUUGACUGCACAGCCCGUGCUCCGCAGGGUCCCACACUGGCCUCUCUGAGAGGCUGUGUUGCUAGACCUCCAUCUACUCAAAGCUUCCGGGUGAUGAAUGGGGCGAUUUGAGUUUCUGGAAGCCAAGGGGAGGGGCCCAGGAUUGCAGGACCAGAGAGAGGUGAGGAGGGCCUGGGGUGACAGGUGGCUGCCCCACGCAUAGGUGGCCAGAUCCCGGGGAAGGGGUGGCAGGUGGGGAACUCCUGGGGGGUGCAGUGGGAAUAAUACAACAAACCAAGACUCAAGACCAGCCUGGGCAGCACGGCGAGGCCUGUCUCUACUAAAAAUACAAGCAUUAGCCCGGUGUGGUGAUGCAAGCCUGUCAUCCCAGCACUUUGGGAGGCCGAGGUGGGAGAGGGGGGUCACCUGAGGUCAGCCUGGGCAACAGGGCGGAACUCCGUCUUUACUAAAAAUUCAAAAAUUAACCGGGCGUGGUGGCAGGUGCCUGUAAUCCCAGCACUUGGGGAGGCUGAAGUGGGCGGAUCACUUCAGGUCAGGAAUUCAAGACCAGCCUGGCCAACACGGUGGAACCCCGUCUCUACUAAAAAUACAAGAAUUAGCAGGGUGCAGUGGCUGACGCCUGUAAUCCCAGCACCUUGGGAGGCUGAGGUGGGCUGAUCACCUGAGCUCAGGAGUUAGAGACCAGCCUGGCCAACAUGGUGAGACCCUGUCUCUACUGAAAAUACAAAAUUAGCUGGGCGUGGUAGCAGGCACCUGUAGUCUCAGCUACUCAGGAGGCUGAGGCAUGAGAAUCAUUUGAACCCAGGAGGCAGAGGUUACAGUGAGCCAAGAUCCCACCACUGCACUCUAGCCGGGGUGACAGAGCAAGAUUCUGUAUC